UUGUCAUGUGGCUAUACAAGGACCUUCUCUAACAACAUGACAUAUGCCAAAAUCAAGGGAUCGGGCCACAGUGCUCCAGUAUACACGCCCCUUGAAUGCUUCAUCAUAUUUAAAAGAUGGAUAUCUUAUGAAAAACUUUAAAAUUUAUAUAACUAUGGUAAAAUAUAUCUUUGCAAGUAUGUUUUAAAUAAAUAAAAAAUAUUGUACUAGAUUUCUAUUUUGAAAUCUUGCACAUACUCUAA